AAAACUAUAUAAAGUUCACUCAUAUAAUAGCAAGGAUAUGGCUUGCGAGUUUCUACCGGUUCACCGUAAAUGGACUGACUAUGGGAAGCAAUGAA
rnacentral:ncRNA from 1 species